rnacentral:tRNA from 1 species
CCGCCCAUAGCUCAGUUGGUAGAGCGGCUCCCUUUUAAGGAGAUGGUCGCAGGUUCAAGUCCUGCUGGGCGGA